UACGAAGGGGGCUAGCGUUGUUCGGAAUCACUGGGCGUAAAGGGCGCGUAGGCGGCCUUCUAAGUCGAACGUGAAAUCCCUGGGCUCAACCCAGGAACUGCGUCCGAUACUGGAAGGCUUGAAUCCGGGAGAGGGAUGCGGAAUUCCAGGUGUAGCGGUGAAAUGCGUAGAUAUCUGGAGGAAUACCGGUGGCGAAGGCGGCAUCCUGGACCGAGAUUGACACUGAGGAGCGAAAGCCAGGGGAGCAAACGGG
rnacentral:rRNA from 1 species